CGAAGGCUCCAAAGGAAGCCACGGCUAACUCUGUGCCAGCAGCCGCGGUAAUACAGAGGUGGCAAGCGUUGUUCGGAAUUAUUGGGCGUAAAGAGCACGUAGGUGGGUUUAUAAGUCAGAUGUGAAAGCCUUCUGUUCAACGGGAGAAUUGCAUCUGAAACUGUAAGUCUUGAGUAUAGGAGGGGAGAAUGGAACUUCUGGUGGAGCGGUGAAAUGCGUAGAUAUCAGGAGGAACGCCGGCGGCGAAAGCGACUCUCUGGCCUAUUACUGACACUCAGUGUGCGAAAGCUAGGGGAGCAAACGGGAUUAGAUACCCCGGUAGUCCUAGCUGUAAA
rnacentral:rRNA from 1 species